rnacentral:rRNA from 1 species
AUUGAACGCUGGCGGCAGGCCUAACACAUGCAAGUCGAGCGAGCGGCGGACGGGUGAGUAAUGUAUGGGGACUGCCCGAUAGAGGGGGAGAACUACUGGAAACGGUAGCUAAUACCGCAUACAAUCGGAUAACCCAUAUGGGAGUAGCUAGUAGGUGAGGUAAUGGGUCACCUAGGCGACGAGCCCUAGCUGGUCUGAGAGGAUGAUCAGCCACCCGGGGACUGAGACACGGCCCCGACUCCUACGGAGGCAGCAGUGGGGAAUAUUGCACAAUGGGCGCAAGCCGUAUCCAGCCAUGCCGCGUGUAUGAAGAAGGCCCUAGGGUUGUAAAGUUCUUUCAGUCGUGAGGCGUUACCGACAGAAGAAGCACCGGCUAACUCCGUGCCAGCAGCCGCGGUAAUUC